rnacentral:rRNA from 1 species
AGAGCGAACGCUGGCGGCAGGCUUAACACAUGCAAGUCGAACGGGCGUAGCAAUACGUCAGUGGCAGACGGGUGAGUAACACGUGGGAACGUACCUUUGGUUCGGAACAACACAGGGAAACUUGUGCUAAUACCGGAUAAGCCCUUACGGGGAAAGAUUUAUCGCCGAAAGAUCGGCCCGCGUCUGAUUAGCUAGUUGGUGGGGUAACGGCUCACCAAGGCGACGAUCAGUAGCUGGUCUGAGAGGAUGAUCAGCCACAUUGGGACUGAGACACGGCCCAAACUCCUACGGGAGGCAGCAGUGGGGAAUAUUGGACAAUGGGCGAAAGCCUGAUCCAGCCAUGCCGCGUGAGUGAUGAAGGCCCUAGGGUUGUAAAGCUCUUUUGUGCGGGAAGAUAAUGACGGUACCGCAAGAAUAAGCCCCGGCUAACUUCGUG